UAGAGUCUGAUGUGCAAUCUUUUUUCAGAAAAGUGCAUCAUGGCCCCAUUCUAACUGUUUACAGUAGGGUGGCGGAAGAGCGUACGCGGUGAGACCCGAAAGAUGGUGAACUAUUCCUGAGCAGGACGAAGCCAGAGGAAACUCUGGUGGAAGUCCGAAGCGGUUCUGACGUGCAAAUCG
rnacentral:rRNA from 1 species